CAGUGAAUAGUUUAUUAAAAAUAGUAAUUUUGGGGAUUAUUGAUGGAAUAUAAUUCUUUCUCUGA
rnacentral:tRNA from 1 species